rnacentral:rRNA from 1 species
CCUACGGGUGGCAGCAGUGGGGAAUAUUGGACAAUGGGCGAAAGCCUGAUCCAGCCAUGCCGCGUGUGUGAAGAAGGCCUUCGGGUUGUAAAGCACUUUCAGUGGGGAAGAAAGCCUUGGGGCUAAUACCCUCGAGGAAGGACAUCACCCACAGAAGAAGCACCGGCUAACUCCGUGCCAGCAGCCGCGGUAAUACGGAGGGUGCGAGCGUUAAUCGGAAUUACUGGGCGUAAAGCGCGCGUAGGCGGUCUGAUAAGCCGGUUGUGAAAGCCCCGGGCUCAACCUGGGAACGGCAUCCGGAACUGUCAGGCUAGAGUGCAGGAGAGGAAGGUAGAAUUCCCGGUGUAGCGGUGAAAUGCGUAGAGAUCGGGAGGAAUACCAGUGGCGAAGGCGGCCUUCUGGACUGACACUGACGCUGAGGUGCGAAAGCGUGGGUAACAAACAGGAUUAGAUACCCUGGUAGUC